UGGUAGCGACCACUAGCGAGUAGAUCGUGGGGAGGAAGUCACAAAAUGGCAGACUUUGACUCAAGCUACUUCCUAAGUUUCUGUUUCUAUUUUGCUAUCUCUGGUUUCGAUUGAAAAAUCUGGCGGGGAACGCCACUAUUUAAAUAUCACAAGUUGAAGAUGAGAGUAUUCUCUGAUGGCUGCGGACUGUAAAGAAAAUGGGGUUGGACGAAGCUAUGGAACGAGACGACAGAGCAAAAGAAGGUCUUAUGGAGCUUGUUCUUCCUGGUUCCACAGCAUUCGAUGAUGGAAUUCUCCCGCCUCUGCACAACUCUUACCUGUAUGAUGACUCUAGGAAGUUGUUUAUGUAUAGUUCUGCACGCCUCAUAAAGAAUGUGGCACUUCAGACACGAUAUGCAGCCUUUCGAGCAGAGAAGAAAGAAUGUGGUUACACAGAGAAAGAACUGGAAGAGACCUUCGGGUUCCUGUUGUUUGACGAUGAAAAAAAGGCCACUGAACUUGGAGAUAGUGGACUUCUUACGGGACACAGCACGUGUUCAACACUUGGGGAUCCCUCAAAGGGUGUGUAUGUAUCUAAAUACUCAGACUGCUUGGACUUCAAGCCAUGGUACAGUGGGAAAUCAGGUCACAUAGCCAUCAUCAAGCUCACCAAGGGCCGAGUGAAAGAGGUAACGGAGAACUACACCCUAAAAUUCACGCCUCCGACCCAGGGGUUUGACUGCCACGAGUCGGAGCAGAUAAAAACAGUCACAGCUGCCACCAGUUCAUUCUUGGCUUUGGAAAGGACACAGUAUUACAUGUACGAGAUUUUGAGUAGAAGCGAAGUAGCAGAAAAGUGCCCACGGCAUGUGUACCCAUUUGCGAUUGUGGAAUUCUCUUAUGGCCAAGCAGAGACCGCCAGCCCAGAGAUAACAGAGGAAAGUGAUGAGAGAACUGUGUCGUUUGACUACAAACCUUGGACAGGCCAGCUGUCGAUUGAGUCCUUUGUGUUCGACAUUGGACUGAAGUCCCACAGUGGAGCUUUGAUACCAGCAAAACUCCCAGAGAUGCUGAGUGUGAAGAGUGUGAUCAGCAUUCCAGACCUGAAGGCACUGUUACCAAAGGAAGUGUUUGAAACCUGUUUUUCUGGAGACAUUUUUGUGGGAGGAAAAUGCUGCAGUCUUUACGAGGUGAUCCCUACGGAUGAGGAUGAGUCCUCCCUUACUCUCCUCAUCGACGAGUUGAAAGAGAAAGAAUUGGCCCUUGUUUUUCUGUUGAGUGAUUCUGGAGUCUUUGUUAUAUUACAUUCAACAUACUUCUUAUCUUAUGAAGAUGCGAGUUCUGAGGAAAUUGAGGCUUUGUAUGGUCUGUUCAUAUUCCCGGAUUCACACACAAUACAGAAAGAUACCAAGAGUAUGCAGAAAAAAUCAGCGCUGUCAUCAAGGGUUAGCCGAGUCCUUCCGGCCUUAAACUACGCAGAGACCGAAGUUGAAAAGUCUGCUCCAGAUCAGCACAGGGAAAUCCGGGCACUGUUCGAGCAGCAUCUGAAGAACUACGGGACUCUAAUCCAGCCAGGGAUGCAGAACAGCCCUCAGAGAGAAGCCAGCAUGUUCCCAGACCAGUACGAUGUCCCCUGCGUUUUCAAGCAGCUCUUCCCACUGCCCAAGUGGACGGACGUCGCCAGGCUGAAGGUGACGAUGUACUUCGAGGAUCCCAGUUCGUUCGAGAUCCCUGUGAAAAGGGCCUCGGAGCUGAUGCACCAGCAGCAGAACAGGGAUGACCCGGAUGAUGAGGUGUACUACUACAUCUCAUCCCCGGAACCGGAAGACGUGUCCGACACUCCGGUCACCACCAGCACAGACACCCAUCUAGAACCGGAGGACAACGUACCCACAGGCGUACUUUCUGAUGUUGCUGCAGAUGAUUCAACUGAAGAAAGUGCCUGUCUGUCUAAUAAGCCGAGGUGUACUGUUCUUUUGGAAGAUGUUGUGAAGACAAACACAAUAGUAUCUUCCCAAGAACAAGAGACAGUCAGUCCCCAGUCCACAGUGCCUAACGGGGUUGAGUCCUCUGAUCGACUAUCACCAGAGAAUCACUAUGGCGACUAUCCAGAGGACUCUCCUAUGUCUGAGCUUGCUACAGGAGAGGACAAUAGUAUUUCUGACUCAGAAGCUCCUGGUACUCCACUUAAGGGGAAGAAACCCCCCCAAGGUGAUGACAUAGACAGCUGUGUAGGGUCUGUUGAGUCUGCCACAGAGAAGUUGCCAGAGAAUAACGGUCAACCAUGUUCAUUACCCGCAUCAGAAUGUAUGCAGUCUGCUUAUUUGGCUAAGGACUUUCCCAAUGCAGAGGAAGAUGCCAGCAGUUCACUCUGUAAGAAGUUAGAGAAACCUCUAGAAGAAGGGACCGAUGACUCUGCAGCAGUGACCUGUCAGAGCGACACUGCAAAGCCUCACUCUGAGUCUGAUCAGACGACAGAUAUCUGUGAAGAAAGUCUAGCAGAAACUAACAGCAAGUCACUAUUAGAAAGACAGAAAGUCCUAGAGGUAGUAGACAAUGUCUCCGUUAUAUCUGGUAAGCCUUUCUCCACUCCGAAAGGGCUAAUGAAGGACAAUGAGUCUGGAAUUCGCACAGGAAAAGCCCUGAGUGUUGUAGAGGCAAAAAUCACCAGUGCAACUGACACUGUCGGCAGCCUUGAUGCGCCUGCAGAGAUGCCAAUAAAAGAUUGUGGUAAAGACAACCCACCGUCUGACCAAAAUCCCAGUGAUGACCUGUCUAAAUCAAAUCAAGAGGAAGAUUCAAGAAGUCCAUUUGUUUUAUUAACAGAGAAACCUUCAGAGGCUGAUGACGACGGCCUUACUGCUACUUUACCUGUUGUCGUUGACUCGUCCACAGUAGUGUCAGUGGAGUGUCACAAGUCAGAGUUGUCUUUGGACUCUGCGGAUGUGGUUUCUGAGAGUAAGGAGCAAGAAAAGCCAGACUCUAAUUGUAUUAAGCAUGAUGCAUCUAAGAACCUAUGUUCAUCUAAAACAGAAGACAGCCCUUUCACUUCAGUCAUUGCAGAGUCCAAGGAACCUCUGGAAACAGAUGUCAAUGGCCCCACUGACACCCUAGUUGGGGGUCCUUCCUCUGCAAAAAUAGCAGCUGAUGUAAGUGAGAAGGAGAACUCUUCAGAGAAAAUGUCACCAGUGGCUGUUUCUAAAUCAAGUACAGACAAAGUACCCUCAACUCAACUUGAUCUAUGUGCAGAUAAGCCUCUAGAAUUGCAGGCUACCAGUGUGCCUUCUAAUCCAACUGAGGCAGGUGACUCUACUGCAGAGGUAUCAACAGAAAACAAUUAUUUGCAGGAUUCAUCGACAGUCUCAGACGGGCCUUCUCUGUCAUCUGAUAUCUUCCCUAACCCUGAAAAAGACAAAGCUGUCAGCAUUUCCCCCAGUACAGAAGUAGUGAAAACUAGACUAGCAUCAGAAGUUGGCAGCCUUUGUACUGACCACCUUCUUGCAGGGGGCAAUUCCCCUGCAGAGACAUUAAGGGAAAAGGAUGGGUCUGAGGAGGCAGUCUCUGAAUUGAGUCUAUCUAAUACUGAGGUAAGCAAAGAUGGAGUAAAACCAGCACUGUCUUUGACAGUUAAGUCUGACCAGUCAGCAGGUGAUCGCAACUCAGAAGUGAUGUCUUCAGAGAUACUUCAGUCUGCUGAACAAGAAGGUUUACUGAAGCCUGGACCUGCUCUGGUCGCCUUCCCUGGAGAGUGUACAUCAUCCAUCACUCCAGUUGUUGUCUCAACAGACCAUGACCAAGGGGUGGACGGGGAUUUGAAUGGUACAAAAUUGCCACCCAGUUCAGGUGCUGCAGAGGGGAUGACUGACAACAGAGCACCCAAUGUCAGUCCAAAACCUUCUGUUCAGAAUGAAACUGGUAAUGACAAACUUCCUGAAACAGAAGCUCCAGUCAAACCAGACUGGAGGACUCUGCCUCGUCGUCGCGGCAGAAGACCUAAGCAGCUGCGAAGAAUCCUGCCAAAGAUAGCCUCAAAACAACAAACAUCACCUAGUAUCAGUCCAACCACCCUUGUUCCAACAGAAACUGACAAGAUUGAGCAUAAGGGAGAGGUACAGGAACUACCCUCUUUAGAAAAUGACCGUUCAAGUUUGUUAAAGCGGAAAAAUGAUGUUUUGCCUCAUGUGGAAGAGGUUGUUUCAUUGAUUAAAAAGGUGGUGCCCUUUGAAAGUUGGGAGCAUAAUUAUUCUCAGUGUGUAAAGGGCACCGCAAACCAGAUGUCUGAAACCUCCACGGAGAUAUCUCCCUCUGGCAAAGGAAAGGAGGGAAAGACCCCUCGCAAACGCAAUAGGAAGGAACAUCGGAAGCUGGCCUCACAAGACUGUAUAUCAAAGCAGGGUGGGGACGAACCCUCUGUGGAGAUUAUUAUUGAGUCCAAACAAGUCCACCGCCUUAAAAGAAAAUUAGACCUAGACAAUUUGAACCAUGACCUAAAGACUGUCAUCACAGAUUGUGGGAAUGUGUUUGUACCCCACGGUUCAGAAAUGCUCCCUCAGGAUGUGGAGUUAGUAAGGAAGAGGCAUAAAUCGGCAGACUGUGGAAAGGGAUUGAACAGAACAAGGUCCGAACCAGGAUCAGUGUCCCAUACAGGGUCACCGGACUCUCCAAGAGAUCCACUUACUGGUAAGGGUAAACCUAAAGAGUGCCUUACACUAAAGGACACAAAAGAUUCCCUUUUACAGACGUUAGAUGGAGGGGUAGGUCUCAAACGAAACCGACGGUUAAGUGACCAUCUCCAUUGUUCAGUGAAUGUAUCGGCCUUUCAGGUUGCUCAAACAGAUAACAAUGCUGCUGUACACAAAGGGGAGUUGGAGAUAAUUCCCACUUUCGUGUUAGAGUUGGAUAGUAACAACCAGACUUCAGUAACUGUUACAGAACAAGAAAAUCUGAUUGAGGAAACUGAUGGAAAUAUUGCCCUUUUGAGUUCUGCAACCAUGGAGUCAUCCGUCAAUAUUGGUGCAGAUGGCCUUCAGGAAACAAAAUCAGACCGGACCACUGAGUCCGAUUGCAAAGGACCUCACAAACCCAAGAGGAAGAAAAGUGCGACGUACACAGUAAUUCCCAUCAGUGAGCUAAAAACAGUGUUCAGGGCAGGGAAAAGGAGUAGCUUAUCAGAUCCAGAGUGUCCAAAAGGACUUGAUCUCAGUUGCUCUAAACCUGACUCCAAGAGACUUAAAAGUUGUGGCGAAGUUAAGAACAAGAUGGAUGUCAACGUCUCUGAUGAGGGCAGUGAGGAAUCUAACCCUGCCUCAAUAGCAGGUUGUGACCUGGGCAAAGAAUCAUUGUCUAAUGAUGUAGUGCCUUCAUCUGAAAUGGCAUCAACAAGUACAAAGAAAUAUAACAAGCUGUUGAAGAAAUGGCAGAAAAUUAAUGCCAAAGACAUCUUCAGAGACCAAGGUGCACCCUCGAACCCUUCCGCCCCCUCGGAUCUCCUCGACAUCGCAUGUCCAGAGGAACUGCAAGGAUCGGAGGACGGCAUACUGGUACAGAUCCAGCUCGAGUCCGUCAACGAGUCCUUGGGCCAGAGGAAGACUGUCAGAGGAGGAAGGCUAGAGGAGGCUGCAGGGCCGUCCUCCUGCAAGAAGCCUUGCAUGCCCGGUUUCCGAAGGCAGAGGGAAAUUGUUCAAAAGGGCGAAUCGAUUGAAAUUUCAAGGCAGUGGAAGGAGACGUAUGACUUCAGUCUGGACAGCAAGUUCAGAAAAAACUCUCGUGAUGAGACGGUGUUGAGAGCACUACAUGGCCCUUGGGAUUUCAACGUCACCGACUCGGACGAAGAUAUUCACCUCAUCUUCCACAUGUGGAUCGGCCUGUUCUACAGCAAGUCCGCUCCUCGUUUCUUUCACCUGGACUCAGACUUCUCUCUACCUGAGGAGGAUGUCGGAGGAGAAAAGUCACCCCGGGACGGCCAUUUACAACUCGAGCUUUCAAAAGUCAGCGCCACGAGUACCCCCAGAGGAACCUCCGGCAUGUUCGCAAAGGCCUUGCCACCGUGCAUGCCGCCAUUUGAAGAUGAGUGCUCGAAGGCGUCUGCUUCAGAGCCACAGCCUUGGCCUGAGAGCCCUUCAUGUGAGGUGUUGGACCUUUCUCUGAAAAGCUGCAAGGCUAUGGACCUGACCAGUACCCCAAAGACCCCAGGAGUGGAAUCCGCCAGUGAUGCGGGUGCUGGACAGUCAGGCGAGUACUGCGAAGGUCCCCUGGAUUUGCGGAUUGAGCCUGUCUGCGCAAGGACACAACCUCAGUUGAAAGUUGCUGAAGAGACCUGCGACUCUGUAAGAACUAUGGAUGAUAGCAAAAACACUACGACUGAUGUAAUCUGUACAAACAUGGACACUUCCUGUCAGAGUGACCUUUCUGAAAAGGCAAAUGUGGACUUUUUUGAUCGUCUUCGUGAGGAUCAGAACCCUGUUGUCACACAGGACGGAGAGAUUAAGUACAGAUUCUUUAUCCUGGCGACAUCUGAAGAUCCCUUUUUCAGAGAAACAAAGGAGCGCCUGGAGUCGGAUGGCCACGUGGCUGUGGAGCCGCACCAGUUUGAACUGGACACACGCGGCCCCUCCUCACCUCUGCUCAUCAUUGUGAGGAAUGAAGACAUCGCUGAGCAUAUCUGUGAGAUUCCUCACCUUCUGGAGUUGAAAAAGUCUUCUGGUGUCGUGUUCGCUGGCAUCGAUCGACCUGAUGACAUCCAGAAUCUCACCCACGAGGAGCUCUUUUCCAAGGGUGGAUUUCUGAUGUUUGACGCAACAUCCCUAAAGAAACUGACCUUAGAGAGCAUGAAGAGCACCGCGGCCUUCCUGGAGGAGCUGAGCAGAAUGGGGAAGUGGAAAUGGUGUCUGCACUACAGAGACAGCCGAGGCCUCCGAGAGGACGCACGGUAAACACGCUCAGCCCAGACGCGCACUGACCCCCCCCCCUCCUCGUGACGCAUCGUCAGUCUGCAGCUCUGAUAUGUGAAGCGAGCUGUUGAGAGAUAUCAGUGAAAAUACAAAGAGAAAUUGACGAGAAUGACAACACAAUGGAAAGUGGCACUUUCACAGAGAAAUCAGUGAAUAUAGUGAAUAUACAAAGAAAAAAAUGGCAAGACUCCAAUGACAACAUGAUGGAAAGUGGUGGCACUUAAAACACAGAGCAAAUGUGAUAGAUUACGCCUCACAAGCCUGGCCUGGUCUUUCUGGGUCACAUGACAUAUCUCUGUAUGUAAACAAUCAGCACAGCUCCACGCUAAUGAGAGAUUUCACCAUACUGGGGUGGUGUAUCUCAGGAGACACAGGCACCAACGAGGAUGCUCGUGGCAAGAAGCAUUUCCUGGAUUCCUGCCAGGAGGCGGGGCUUGUGGAGGUGCUACCCUACCAUGACUGUGAUGUCAUGUCCCAGGAGCGUCCAAACUACUUGCAC